GACGAACGCUGGCGGCGUGCUUAACACAUGCCAGUCGAACGGAAAGGCCCUGCUUUUGUGGGGUGCUCGUGUGGCGAACGGGUGAGUAACACGUGAGUAACCUGCCCUUGACUUUGGGAUAACUUCAGGAAACUGGGGCUAAUACCGGAUAGGAGCUCCUGCUGCAUGGUGGGGGUUGGAAAGUUUCGGCGGUUGGGGAUGGACUCGCGGCUUAUCAGCUUGUUGGUGGGGUAGUGGCUUACCAAGGCUUUGACGGGUAGCCGGCCUGAGAGGGUGACCGGCCACAUUGGGACUGAGAUACGGCCCAGACUCCUACGGGAGGCAGCAGUGGGGAAUAUUGCACAAUGGGCGGAAGCCUGAUGCAGCAACGCCGCGUGCGGGAUGACGGCCUUCGGGUUGUAAACCGCUUUCGCCUGUGACGAAGCGUGAGUGACGGUAAUGGGUAAAGAAGCACCGGCUAACUACGUG
rnacentral:rRNA from 1 species